CCGGAAGAGGAGCUUCUACGCCGGAUUGCCGCUCAGCGCCAUAGCUCUAAGGGCGCGCCCUUUCGGAAACGGGAGGAGGGGGGGCAGGGGACCCCCCCCCAAAAAAACAUCGAUGUUGCAGGAAAGGAAAUGAGAAUCGGGAGCGAGGACAAAGAGGUAAAGGGGUCGUGGGGGGGGGAGAGGGGAGAGAAGGACCCAGAGAGGGACUCCGCUACAGCUCCCCAAAGCGCCUUCCGUGGGCCCCACCGGCAGGGCCUGGAUUUCUGCACGGCUGCAGCGAAGGG